UCAUUGUUAUUGUUAAUUGAUAAAUAAUUAUUACAUAUACACAGACACAGUGUAACUUCGUAUAUGAUAUGCGAGAAUAUUAAUUAAACCACGUAGAUAUUUAAUUUUGUCUGGUAGAAUUUUUGUGAUGCAAAGCUAACCUUUUGUUAAAUAAAUAAGAGCCUAAAUAUUUGGUUGGACCAUGUAGUGCAAGCUGUUGCAUCUGAGAGAGUGAUUACGGUUUUACAGCUCGUGAUGAGAUGUAAAGGAGAGUCUGUUUUGUCAGCUUCUGUCUAAAGUGUUAUCCUGCAUAUAUGUAAAAUGAUAUAUCCUCUUAUUAAUCAGAAGAAAAUAACACAUGUUACAAGAUGAUACUUUAUUUAUUAAUGAUUAGUUUAUAAAUAACAUAUAUUUUUUUUUAUGGGUAUGAAAAUUUAAUAGGAUAAUAUAAUACUACUGGUCUACCAUCACUCUCCUACCUUGUGAAGUGUUUUGCCUUGUUCUACAGGGUAGUUGGUCUCUUUCACAAUUAACUCUAACUUUGUCCUUUUUAUUUUACUUGAUGGGCUUUCCUAUGCUCUCUUUCUUCACGGAAAACCAAACAACAUUAUUAGUUUCUUCUUCUUAUUUAUUCCUCCUUCUAUAUAUCCAUUUACAAAACUACUUUCUUUUUCUCUUUAUCCAUCAUUUCUCUCCCUCACACAAUAGCAAGGAUAAGCAUUUGUCGAGAGCAAACAAACAAAAACAAGAACUAACAGAACAUAUUAUAUAAGAAACAAAAAAAUGAAUGAUGCUGCUGCAAUUGUUGCGGCAUAUUACUCUGAGUUCGUGGAAGUUGACUCUAAAGGAAGAUAUGGAAGAUACAACGAAAUUCUUGGCAAAGGAGCUUCCAAGACAAUAUAGAGCAUUUGAUGAGUAUGAAGGGAUAGAAGUAGCAUGGAAUCAAGUAAAGCUUUAUGAUCUUAUGCAGAAUCCUGAAGAACUAAAGAGGUUAUACUGUGAAAUUCAUCUUCUCAAGAC